GCCUCUUCUGUCCCAGUGGCUCGGGCCUAUAAUACCAGCUCUUCGGGAGGCGGAGGCUGGAGGCUUGCUUGAGCUCAGGGGUUCUAGGCUGCAAUGGGGCAUGCCAAUCGGGUGUCUGUGCUAAGGUCAGCACUGAUAUGGUGACGUGUGGGGAGUUGUAGGUCCCUGGUUGCCUAAGGAGGCGUGAACCGGCCCCGGUCAGGAAUGGAGCCGGCCAAAGCUCCCGUGGGGAUUGCAGCUGUGAAAGGCUGCUGCAGUGCAGCCUGGGCAAGAGAGUGAGUGAGACAC
rnacentral:SRP_RNA from 1 species